AUCCAGCUGACUACUCCAAAAUAGGACGAAAUGCGCGUCCUGGAU
rfam:Schistosoma margrebowiei strain Zambia genome assembly, scaffold: SMRZ_scaffold0000372